GUAAGAAAGGGUUCGGCUGUACAUAUUCUAAAACUGGAACGAAACAGAGAAGAUUGGCAUGGCCCCUGUGCAAGGAUGACACGCAAAUUCGUGAAGCGUUCCAUGU
rnacentral:snRNA from 1 species